UGGGGGAUAUUGCACAAUGGGCGAAAGCCUGAUGCAGCGACGCCGCGUGGGGGAUGAAGGCCUUCGGGUUGUAAACUUCUUUUGCUCUGAACAAGGCAUGCUAAUGGGUGUGUUGAGUGUUGGGGUUGAUUAGCGCCGGCUAACUACGUGCCAGCAGCCGCGGUAAUACGUAGGGCGCGAGCGUUGUCCGGAAUUAUUGGGCGUAAAGGGCUUGUAGGUGGCUGGUUGCGUCUGUCGUGAAAGCUCAUGGCUUAACUGUGGGUUUGCGGUGGGUACGGGCUGGCUUGAGUGCAGUAGGGGAGGCUGGAAUUCCUGGUGUAGCGGUGGAAUGCGCAGAUAUCAGGAGGAAUACCGGUGGCGAAGGCGGGUCUCUGGGCUGUUACUGACACUGAGGAGCGAAAGCAUGGGGAGCGAACAGG
rnacentral:rRNA from 1 species